ACACAGCCAUGUUGAAUAACAGACGCCUUUUGUUUUGGUGAUGUUUUAUCGUGGAUAUGGUUUAUUACACUGACUGACACCUAAUCGGCUUAAUUAACUUCAAACAACACCUGCUUUAUUUUUCUCACCUUUGUGAUUUUUUUUCAGUGAAACUUAACAUUGAAAUACCUCUCUUAGGCUUUUUAUUCAUCAGUUUUUUUUGAAAUCUCAAACCAAAAGAGAAUUAAAAAAAAAAAUUGGUGAAAAUAAGCUUCAAUCAAAAUUCUACCAAUCACGGAAUUAAUUCCCUGUUUGGCUAGGUGAGCGAAAAGAAAUUUUCUUACUAUAAAUAUUCGUUAAAUGAUAUUUGUAUUUUGUCUUCUUUUGUUUUUGGAAAGCUAAUAAAUAUUUGUUAUUGAACAAUGUUAGUGG